UAAUAAUACAAUCCUCCACAGUAGCUGAUCUGACGCAUGUAUGCCUAUUUUAAUGUAUGAGGGCACUAUUUUCACUAGGAGCUGUUUAAUUUCAGUGCAGUAACUCGAUAAACAGACGGAACUGCCCACUUCCGUCUUGGCUACGAGCAUUCGUAUUCAAACAGUCCAAUAUUAAGGGAUGUUUUGGUAAAGUUAGCCUUCCUGUUGCUAUCAAAACAAUGCAUCUUAAAACAGAAACCAACACACAAGAGUGAAUAUAACGUACGAAGUUUGUUAACGUGACGUUUAGUGUCAUGACGUGCAACCUACCAGAAUCAAAUCAAACCGCAGGCGCAGUAUGCGGCCUCUGAUUGGUGGUGGACUCCUGGUGGGCGGGGACAGGGGCGUGCCCUCUGUUGUCUGUGUUCGGUUAAAGAUUUGAAAUAGAAAACAACAGACUGCUCGGCUGUUACAGUUUCUGGCUUUUAAAGGCUUUUUCUUGAAUUAAAGGUCCUUGUGAACGUUUACAGAUUGGCUCUCCACAAUGGUCUGCGACUGAAACACUAACAGCAGCAGAUAGAGACUGUGAGCUUCCUGCUAAAGAAAGAAGGGAAGAAAGACAACAGCACACACCUCAAGAGAAGACAAAGAGAAAGCAGUCAUGUUCAAAACGAUCAGCCGUCUGCUUUUUGGGGGAGAGGAGGAGACCCCUGAAACAGUCAAGUCUGGAAAAGAGGUGGAAGAAGAGUGGCAUGUUGUCAGUCAUCAAGAGGCAGGUUCAGCAGAAAACCAGGAUGCAAAACUGACUGACAUCCAACCGUCAAACUCUGCUCCUCAUGGGGACACAGUCGCAACUGUGGCAGCUGACAUCAGUGUUUUGGAUCCGGAGCCUAUGGUUGAAAGCAGCAGUAGCCCCAGUCGAGCCAUCUCUGGCUCCAGUUCUCAGCCUAAGGCUUUGCUAGAAGUGUCAAAGAUAACCUCCACUCAGAAGGCCAAGACCUGGGCAGACCGACAGCACAUGACUCGUAACGCCAUCCAGCGCCAGAACCGUGUUCGUCACGGCGUCCAACAUCACGCCUUCCCGCUCCAACAGCCAGGACAUCGCAACCUCUGCCACUAAGGCUCUGGUGCCACUACUUCAUAUGUUAACCAGGAGAUGAUCUCACAACACUCAUCAUACACUUAUACGGCAAUAUAUACAAAUACACACACCUUUUAGUCUUGUGUAGACAUAAGCUAUACAUCUAGUCUGGAUGUAACCCAUUACAACAACAACUCUAACCACCAGGUAGUAGGCAGCUACUUUAUGAAUUGUACUGUAUCUGAAUUUGGAGUGCUAUUGUUCACCUCAUGUAAUGAGAUCUUUUUUGUUUGUGUGCAUGUGGAUGAAAAAAGUGCAGCCUAUGCAAAUGUAUGCUGUAACAUUUUGGAGAAAGUGAUGUGAUUUGUGCAUGGACAUGCAUUUACCUCUGGCCUAUACUCGACUGAGAUGAUCGAUCAUCUGAUCCAAUAUUCAGCUUUAUUUUAAUCAGUCUUUCUUUGUUGUUUUUUUCUUUUAUCCAAUUGUCAAUAAAAUAAAUUAAUUUAAAACUAUGAUACUUCGGCCCUGAUGCAUCAUGUUAUCUGCAAAGUAACUAUUAACUAAAAGUCAUCCAGUAAAUGUAGUUGAUUGGAUGUAUUAAGACCUCGAAAUGGAAAUACUCAGUAAAGUACAAGUACCCUAAAAUAACUGUACUGAGUUAAUGUAGCCUACUUGGUAACAUUCCAUCACUGCCUCAGUGCCAGAUGCUUUAAAGUUUAGGCUGAACUUGCUGCUGCACACAUGGUUUUGAAGUGACUAGCGGUGUCCACUUAUCGCUGAUCAGAUGUGUUGAUUUCUAAGUUUGCAUGUCACUAUAUGAUCUCAUCAGUAAACACAAAUAUGUGAACCAAAUGUGUGAAAUCAUUUACAUUAAAGAUUUCACAUUUGCUCAGUAAAUUUUUAAGGCCAGGUUGGUUAAUUAUAACAGAUGGUACUGUAUUCGUCAUUGACUGUAUAUAAAGAUGCAGGCUAUAUAUUCAUAUUUGUAGAGUCAUUUACUAACGCACCAAUAGGAGUCCAAUGAAGGUGUGUGGUAGUCACACAAGGUAAUGUACAGUAAGCAGGUGAGACACUUGUUUGGUUAACUUAAGCAAGAAAUCACAGAAACAAACUUCAAGCAGAAGUCAUAGACCUAACUGUAAAUAUAAUUUCCAAUAAAUUCCACAGCUACAAUAAACAUAAUCCAAGAGUUCUUCCUGACACUUAAACUUACUCAAAAGCAGUCGUCUGUCAGCUGCUCACCCUUUACAGCGCAUCAUUUUCAUUUGUUCCUGCAGUAAAAUAGAUGAGUCCUCAACUCCUGCUACCUCGACAGAAGUGUACAUAUAAUAUUCAUAUACAUUCCCAGCUAGUCUCUGUUCUGGAAAAUUGAGACACAGAUGCAUAAACCCUGACUCACCAUUGUUACUGUAAUCUGGUCUGCUAUGUGCUUAACCAGACUACAGUUUGAAAUGGCUGAAGUUUCAAAUGAUGUUUAAAAACCUUUACAACUGCUUAAUGAAUGGUUAAUAAAUCAUUUAUGUUAGGAAAAUAACUAUUAACCAAAAAUUAAAUUAUUUAUUCUCAGAUCUUUUUACUCAUUCUGAUUAAAGUUAUUUUUAAUUUCAAUAUUAACUUAAAUAAGGCCUUUACCCAUAGGUGUCAUUUACACUGGGGAUUCUGGUUAAAUAUCUGGUUAAGUUAAAAAUGUGCUAAAAAUAGCUUGAAGCUAGAAGUGUCAAUUAACCAAUGAAAAUUAAAUGAACCUGCACGAUUUCCCCACCCUAAUUAUGUACUCUUAUUAUGUAUGUGACCUCACACAACCCUGAAUACAUUGUCUAAAAUCACAUUCUAUGUAGUUUAUUUUAGUGAACCUUCAUCUAACCGGGCAAGUCACUGGAAGUCUAGCAAAAGGCAAAGUCAAUAUAUGUUGACAACUGUGUAAAAAAAAAUGUCCUU
ensembl:lncRNA